rnacentral:tRNA from 1 species
GGGGAUGUAGCUCAAUGGUAGAGCACUUGUCUAUCAUGCACGAGACCCUGGCUUCCAUCCCCA